rnacentral:tRNA from 1 species
ACCUUCGUGGUGUAGUGGUCAGCACGCUCGACGCGUAUUCGAGAGGUCCGUGGUUCGAGUCCAGGUGAAGGCA